rnacentral:rRNA from 1 species
AUGAUCAUUACGGCAAGGAAAUCUCAGCUGAAAGCGAGCCGGCGUCACACUGCCACUGAACUCUACCUAGUACUCCUACAAGCACAAUGCCCGAGCCCUCAAAACGACACGGCCGGUCACGCGGGCGAGCCGUUAAACGAGCAAGGGGAGGGAGCGGUGGUGGGGUACGCCGCCAUGGACUCGCGCUUCUCCUCCGGCUCCGGGGACGUGAGGUCGGGGAGCUCGCUGACGGUGGGGGAGCGGCUCUGCGCCGCCUUCUUGCCCUUCGUUGCCGUCGCCGAGGCCGUCUUUUUCGUCCUCGCCGACUGCCUCGCCGACAUCUGCCCUUCCUCGUCCUCCUCCUCGCGCCUGCGCAGAGAAUCCUCUGCUUCGUCCUUCCUCACGGCCAAGAAGAAGAGCCAUCACCUGUUCCGCCGCCGCGUCGGGCCAGGCUGCACCUCCCUCGACUUCCGCAACCUUGCCCGCCUCGCCGAGGAGUCCCGUUGCUUCUCGGUGAACGAGGUGGAGGCGCUGUUCGAGCUCUACAAGAAGAUCAGCUGCUCCAUCAUCGACGACGGGCUCAUCCACAAGGAAGAACUGCAGCUAGCAUUAUUCAAGACUCCUAGCGGGCAGAAUCUUUUUAUUGACAGGGUUUUUGAUUUGUUUGAUGAAAAGAAGAAUGGAGUAAUAGAGUUUGAUGAGUUUAUUCAUGCUCUCAGUGUCUUCCAUCCAUGUUCACCUGUGGAGGAUAAGAUUAAUUUUGCAUUUAAGCUGUAUGAUUUGAGGCAAACCGGAUUUAUUGAGCGUGAAGAGGUUAUGCAAAUGGUUAUUGCCAUUUUGAAUGAAUCUGAUAUGAAAUUGUCUGACGAGCUUCUUGAGGCCAUCAUAGAUAAGUUUCAGUUUCAGAAAAAUUUCAGUAGAUGUAAGUGUUACUUGACGUUUCAGACGUUUGAAGACGCUGAUACUGAUAGGGAUGGGAAAAUCAGCCAAGAAGAAUGGAAGGAAUUUGUAUUGCGCCACCCUAAUCUGUUAAAGAACAUGACCCUACCCUAUCUUAGGGACAUCACAACAUCUUUUCCUAGUUUUGUCUUCAACACGGCAGUUGAAGACUAA